rnacentral:rRNA from 1 species
GAUCUGGCUCAGGAUGAACGCUAGCUACAGGCUUAACACAUGCAAGUCGAGGGGCAGCAUGAACUUAGCUUGCUAAGUUUGAUGGCGACCGGCGCACGGGUGAGUAACACGUAUCCAACCUGCCGAUGACUCGGGGAUAGCCUUUCGAAAGAAAGAUUAAUACCCGAUGGCAUAGUUCUUCCGCAUGGUGGAACUAUUAAAGAAUUUCGGUCAUCGAUGGGGAUGCGUUCCAUUUAGGG